AGGAUGAACGCUGGCGGCGUGCCUAACACAUGCAAGUCGAACGUCCUGUCUCGCAAGAGGCAGGGAGUGGCGGACGGGUGAGUACCACGUGGGUCAUCUACCGUGAGGUGAGGAAUACCGGCGAGAAAUCGCCGACAAGACCGCAUAGGCUCGAUGCAAGUCGAGCAAAGCUCUUUCGAGAGAGGGAGCGCCACACGAGGAGCCUGCGCCCGAUUAGCUAGCUGGUGGAGUAACGGUUCACCAGGGCGACGAUCGGUAGCUGGUCUGAGAGGACGAUCAGCCACACUGGGAUUGAGAACGGCCCAGACUCCUACGGGGGGCAGCAGUGAGGAAUUUUCGUCAAUGGGGGCAACCCUGAACGAGCAACGCCGCGUGCAGGAAGAAGGUUUCGGAUCGUAAACUGCUUUUCUCGGGAAGAGGAACGGACGGUACCCGAGGAAUCGAGCCCCGGCUAACUACGCGCCAGCAGCCGCGGU
rnacentral:rRNA from 1 species